GUGUUUGAGAUGUUUGCUUUUGUGGACCCUGUAGCACAAGCCUUGGCUGAACAGAUCUUCAUCUACUGUGUUGCUGCUGCCUGCUAUCCCUCUGCCACAGACCCCUGUACUCAGCUGCCCUGCAAGAAGAUCUGGCAGAGCUGCAGAUAAGUUGGCACAAAUCACUUCAUCUAGGAAGAAUGUGCUCCUUCACAGUGGUCCUGUCGUUGUGAG